GUUUCUGAGAAAAGUUUUUGUUUCAAUAAAUCAGUCUUUUCUGACAGCAAUGUCAACAGAUGUUGAAAAAUUUCCUCUUAGCUGCAAUAAUCAUACAAGGGAGCAUCUGACUGCAAAAAAAUGUUUUCACAGAAUUGCAGAACUGAGGUUGCAAAAGACAUCCAAGAUGAUCAAGCCCAACCUUUGACUCCACUUCUUAUAUCUGCAAAAGGUGAACGAGCAGUUCCUUCAAAGGAGGCUUGGUUAUGUGACCACUUCCCUGGGAACCUGCUCCAGUGAGUGACUACCCUCUCAGUGAAGAAGCCAACAGUUUCCACACUGAUGGAGAAGUUUGAACAUCUGUUAUUGUUCAAUUGUAUUCCUCUGUAACACAUCUGACAUUUGGGGACAGUGAAGAAACCAGGUAAAAAAAAAAAAAAAAAAGAAGAAAAAAAAGAAGAGAGAAAUAAUCACAGAGCAGAUACCACCUGCCUGGACUUCUCCAUGGGAAUGAGUGAUCUGACAAUUAUAGACUUCAGGUGCCGUGAGGAAUCAUCUUUCCAAACUGCUGCCAGGGGGGAAAAGACUAGUUCUGAUGUGAUAUCUAGACAGUCUAAGAGUUAUUUUUGUCCUUGAAGUCUAAUAGUGGGUUAUUGGUAAUUACAGGAAAAAAAAAUAACCUAGAAAAAGGGUGUGAUGUCUUUUUUUACUUUUUCCUCAUCUAUUCAGUUCCACAGAAAUCUUGUGGGGUUACUAUUCCAUAAAGAACCACUUUAAGGAGAUUUUAGCCCUAUUCUUAUUUAAAAUUUAAAUAUACCUAUUCUGUGAGAUACAUUUUUUAGUUUUAAACCUAAGUGUUUAGAUUAUUUUUGUAAUUUAUGUUUAAACUGCAGCAAAAAGCUGGUACAACACUGUCCAGAGAAACAAAACCCAUUUUGUACAACAGUGCUCUUGGACUGGGUGGAGAGAUAUUUGUAUUGCCAGAGAAAGGGGAAACCAAAAAAAUGAAAGUCAGGAGCAGAUGGCAAAGGAAAAAUAUAAUCAGAAAGGAAAGAAAAUGGGGCUGAGGGUGUAGAAAGGAGUUUGUGAGUGAGGAGGAAGAAAAAGGAAAUAAAAAAAAUAGAGACAAGAGUGGGAGAAAAAGGAUCUCAAGUUUCCUGUAUGGACUUGGCAUUCCUAAGAGAAAAUUUUCAAUAUAAUAUUUCAAAAUUUUAUUUAACUUUAUUUAGGGAUGUGGCUGAGAGCAGCCUAGAGGGAGCCUUGUUUAAGAGCCCCAAAGGCUCCUACUGGCUAUUCGAUCUAACUGGAACAGGCAGCAGCAAUCUGUGUCCAUCACUGGGCAACAAGGAGCAGGAGGGCACUG